GCACAAGCGGUGGAUGAUGUGGUUAAUUCGAUGCAACGCGAAAACCUUACCACCUUUGACAUGUACGGAACCCUUUAGAGAUAGAGGGGUGCUCGAAAGAGAGCCGUAACACAGGUGCUGCAUGGCUGUCGUCAGCUCGUGUCGUGAGAUGUUGGGUUAAGUCCCGCAACGAGCGCAACCCUUGUCAUUAGUUGCUACAUUCAGUUGGGCACUCUAAUGAGACUGCCGGUGACAAACCGGAGGAAGGUGGGGAUGACGUCAAGUCCUCAUGGCCCUUAUGCCCAGGGCUACACACGUGCUACAAUGGGCGGUACAAAGGGUAGCGAUGCCGCGAGGUGAAGCCAAUCCCAAAAAGCCGUCCACAGUUCGGAUUGGAGUCUGCAACUCGACUCCAUGAAGCCGGAAUCGCUAGUAAUCGUGGAUCAGCAUGCCACGGUGAAUACGUUCCCGGGCCUU
rnacentral:rRNA from 1 species